GGUGAGAGACUUGCAUCGCAGUCUGAUGCACUGGGAAUGAUCUGAGAAAACACGUGAGCCAGCCUGCAUUCCUUGACUCAUGGAGCUCAUCGUGCAUCUUCAAACCAGCAACACUAACCCUUCCACCAUUUCAAGUUUCACUGAUGUCCCCACAAGUCUCUUUCCCUUUGUCAACUUUAGAUGACAAUAAUUCACCUAAUUUGAGAAUUAACUCUAGCUUUUAUUAUCAAAUAUAUUCUUGGUAUAAUUCUACUGAAAUGUAAAAAUCUAGAAAAAUAAAUAAAACUUCAAAAGCUUAAUGAAGGGUUCAAAAUGUAUGAUUUCUAGCAAAAUGGGAGAUAGUUGGGAUAAAAUGACCUAUAAAUAUAUUUUAAAAGGCCCAUUCUAAUUAUACUCAAUACUAAUUAAAUUUAGAACUUAGCAAUGUGUUUAUUAAAACAUGCAAAUUUACUAUUAUAAAAUUAGUAUUAUGAAUAAAGAAACUAAAUCUGUAACAUUUAACCUAAUUUAAAUUUUCUAAAUACUCUGAGUUUCUUUGAGAAACUGAUGUCUCAUUGAAAUGAAGAGAAAGAAGUUGAUGUUUUCUUUUAUGAGUGUUGACUUUGCCAAAUUGGAACAACUCUCCCA